GUAAGAUUCUUUCAAAAUCACCUUUUAAAUUUGUCCUUCUUUGGUUGCUUAAGUUUUCCUCACUGUGUUUGUCAUUGUUAAAGUUUAUAACUCAUUUUAUUUCAUUAGGAAAUAGCUCUCGGAGAGGGAAGACCAGCUGCCUUCAUCAGGAAUUCACAGGUGGCAUUUCUAUGGGGAAUCAGCACAAGUCCUCAAGCUGGUAAGAAGCAGAUCUCUGAGACUUUCUACUGGGAUAUGGAGUUUUGGGGCAAAAAGGAGAAUGGAGAUCAACACUGAUAUUUAUUUAUUCACUUUUAAAUAUACACUUUCAGGUAGAAGUUGAG
rnacentral:lncRNA from 1 species